GCUAACUACGGGCCAGCAGCCGCGGUAAGACGUAGGGGGCGAGCGUUGUCCGGAAUUACUGGGCGUAAAGAGCACGUAGGCGGGACUUUAAGUCAGGUGUGAAAGACCGGGGCUCAACUCCGGGGUUGCACUUGAAACUGGAGUUCUUGAGGGCAGGAGAGGAAAGCAGAAUUCCUGGUGUAGCGGUGAAAUGCGUAGAAAUCAGGAGGAAUACCAGUGGCGAAGGCGGCUUUCUGGACUGACCCUGACGCUGAGGUGCGAAAGCGUGGGUAGCAAACAGGAUUAGAUACCCUGGUAGUC
rnacentral:rRNA from 1 species